rnacentral:tRNA from 1 species
GUGGGUAUAGCUCAGUGGUAGAGUGCAUGCCUAGCAUUAACGAGAUCCUGGGUUCAAUCCCCAGCACCUCCA